rnacentral:tRNA from 1 species
GAGGGUAUAGCUUAAGUGGGAGAGCGCGUGCUUAGCAUGCACAAGGUUCUGGGUUCAAUCCCCCGUACCUCCU